rnacentral:rRNA from 1 species
UACAGAGGUCUCAAGCGAUUGUUCGGAUUCAUUAGGGCGUAAAGGGUGGCUAGGGCGGCGCGGAUAAGAUCGGGUGUGAAAUCAUGAGCUUUAACUCCGAAACUGCAUUCGAUACUGCCGUGGCUUGAGGACUGGAGAGGAGACUGGAAUUUACGGUGAGCGGUGAAAUGCGUAGAUAUCGCUAAGGGAAGACCAGUGGCGGAAGGCGGGUCUCUGGACGAGUCCUGACGGCA